GCCUUUCCCUCUGACUGAAGCAAUGGCAAAACCUCUUCCUACUGGUGCUGAGUUGCACUUCUGCUGGCCUUUGAAGUUGAAUUUCAGAAAGAAAGCAACCACUACAAAGAUGCAUUUUUGUUUUGCUAUAGUUCCUAAAACAUUUGCUGAAAAUCCUACUGAGCCGCAGUUGGUGCUGACGACACAGAAAUGAUUCAACUGCCCGAAGCGAGUUAAUGGAGUUUUCUAAGCACCGAUGGCAUUCAGAGAAGACAGCACCAUCGAGGCCUUUCCCAAGUUGGGGCAAGGCUUGAAGGAGAAAGUUGUAAGAAGCAAGGAGACGCUUAUUAAGACAGUACUGAGUAAGUAGGGCUCUUAAGGGCCGAAGACGCGAGUUUGAAUCUCAGACCUGCCACUUACAUGCUGUGAAACUUUGAAUGAAACUUUCCCCCACUCUGAGUGAAAUGAGGAUGGCACAGAGGUCUGGAGGCGAGGCCUGUGGUCUGACUCUACUGAAAGAUCGGCUCAGCAACCCCAUUUGGCACAGCUCCUAUCACAGACUAGCUCGUGUCUACGAUGUCUUAAUGUACUUCCGGGCAUUGGGAUAAUUGUCUCCAUUUGAUGGUUGUGUAGUUUACUCAAGGCCACGUGACAG